rnacentral:rRNA from 1 species
GUGAGGAAUUUUCCGCAAUGGGCGAAAGCCUGACGGAGCAAUGCCGCGUGAAGGAUGAAGGCCUAUGGGUUGUAAACUUCUUUUCUCAGAAAAGAAUUAUGACGGUAUCUGAGGAAUAAGCAUCGGCUAACUCUGUGCCAGCAGCCGCGGUAAGACAGAGGAUGCAAGCGUUAUCCGGAAUGAUUGGGCGUAAAGCGUCUGUAGGUUGUUUAAAAAGUAUUCUGUCAAAGAUUAGGGCUUAACCCUAGAUAGGCAGAAUAAACUUUUAAGCUAGAGUUUGGUAGAGGCAGAGGGAAUUCCCGGUGGAGCGGUGAAAUGCGUAGAUAUCGGGAGGAACACCAAAGGCGAAGGCACUCUGCUGGGCCAAUACUAACACUGAGAGACGAAAGCGAGGGGAGCAAAUGGGAUUAGAUACCCGAGUAGUCA